rnacentral:rRNA from 1 species
AUGGAACUGAAUGCAGCAGUGGCCAAGAAGACUGGGCAGAACUGCAUGAUAAAGCUUGAUUGGGAAUCAUUGGUAACAAGAUUUCUUCAGCUGAAUGGCCUGAAAGCAGAGGAUGGCAAACUGGAGAGGCAGAAGUUAGAGGAGAUAAUCUUCAAUGAUGAGGUGGGUUACAACACGCCAGAAGGGGCUGCCUGGUGCUUCAAGCAUAUGGGCAUUAAGGCAGAUAUCCACAAGGAUGGGGACAACAUUGGCACCCUCAACGUGAGCCUUCAUGAUUACAGACGUUAUGAGCAGAUGGACGCUCAGGAGGUAAGGGAACACAUAGAAAAUGGCAGGGCGAUCAAGGUACGGAUACUUGCCGGAACAGAGUUCGACUCUCUUGAGGACGACGAGAUCUAUUGCUGGCUCCCAGAGAUCGAUGAGGACACUGGGAAAUUGGUGGAGGACCCAGACCCCCACGCAAUUGUAUUGCUUGGCAAUGGUAAUGCUGGGCCCUCAUUGCGCAAUGAACAGUACCACCCGUUCCUUAAUUCACAUGGAAAAAAAUAUGCAAAGGGUGGAGUUGGGUGCAUAUUUUUCAAGGGUCUGUUCGGCCCAUACUACUUGCUGGAAAUGAAGGCAGAGCCGAAGCUCUCGUAUGGUGGGAUGUCUCAGCUUCCUGCUCCUCCUUUUCGCACGUAUGUCCCGACUCCUCCGCCCCCUGGUUCCCCCGCAUCACCGCCAUGCCCGUCUGCCUUCACGACUUUGCCUGCCCAUGGCCGCUUCCCUGCACCAUCACGCCCGGGUGCCCCCUCAACUCAGCAUACUCCACGUUACUUGCCGCCUUGGCAUCCCAGUCGUAGCUCCUGUUUACCUGGUCCAGUCAGCGGCCACAGUCUCACUCCACCAAGAGGAAGAUACAGCAUGGAUGUCCCGACACCUCCGCCUCAUGAUCGCUCCGCAUCACAGUCACACCUGGCUGCCUUCACGCCUCCGCCUCCCCAUGGCCGCUUCCCUGCACCAAGACGCCCGGAUGCCCCCUCAACACAGCGGGCUACUGCACCUCACUCGCCACCUCCAGCCCGCGGUGAAUGGCCCACUGCACCAAGAGGAAGAGACACCAUUGAUAAGAAAAGAUGGUAG